rnacentral:rRNA from 1 species
UUGCUACACCAUAGACUGUGAGUUGCGAACGGGUGAGUAACGCGUAGGUAACCUGCCUAUUAGAGGGGGAUAACUAUUGGAAACGAUAGCUAAUACCGCAUAACAGUAUGUAACACAUGUUAGAUGCUUGAAAGAUGCAAUUGCAUCGCUAGUAGAUGGACCUGCGUUGUAUUAGCUAGUAGGUAGGGUAAAGGCCUACCUAGGCAACGAUACAUAGCCGACCUGAGAGGGUGAUCGGCCACACUGGGACUGAGACACGGCCCAGACUCCUACGGGAGGCAGCAGUAGGGAAUCUUCGGCAAUGGGGGGAACCCUGACCGAGCAACGCCGCGUGAGUGAAGAAGGUUUUCGGAUCGUAAAGCUCUGUUGUUAAGGAAGAACGAGUGUGAGAAUGGAAAGUUCAUACUGUGACGGUACUUAACCAGAAAGGGACGGCUAACUACGUGCCAGCAGCCGCGGUAAUACGUAGGUCCCGAGCGUUGUCCGGAUUUAUUGGGCGUAAAGCGAGCGCAGGCGGUUAGAAAAGUCUGAAGUGAAAGGCAGUGGCUCAACCAUUGUAGGCUUUGGAAACUGUUUAACUUGAGUGCAGAAGGGGAGAGUGGAAUUCCAUGUGUAGCGGUGAAAUGCGUAGAUAUAUGGAGGAACACCGGUGGCGAAAGCGGCUCUCUGGUCUGUAACUGACGCUGAGGCUCGAAAGCGUGGGGAGCGAACAGGAUUAGAUACCCUGGUAGUCCACGCCGUAAACGAUGAGUGCUAGGUGUUAGGUCCUUUCCG